UUCCUGAGUCAACAACUGUGUUUGCCUUUUCACCCCAGUUGUCCCGGCUGCUGGUGGCCAUGAUUCAGUUUAUAUACUUCUAACAGGAAUACCCCACAAGUGACAUCGUACCUUUCUGAGUGCAUCUUACGAAGAGGCACAGAACUUGGUUUCUUGAGAUACUGGUGCUGCUAACUCGGAUCACUUGGUUAACAUGUCACUCUGUUGUAAAGCACAUCUGUGCACCGAGGGCACUCGUGGAGCUUCCAGCAAUUGCAGCGGUGGAAGAAGUAGAGGAGAUACUUGCAGAUAAAGGGGUGUUUUCCUCUCUGUUUCUAAGCUUCAGGAGCCUUCAGAGGUAGCUGUCUGUAGAGCUGUAGUUUGAGGUUUGUAACAGGCAGGAAAACUCGAGGCCGAAAACAGUUCCUUAUUUACAUUUCAGUUUUGAGGGUGAAUGGCAGGAAAUGGGAUGAAAUUAAUCGCCAUUUUUCAGGCCCCCGAAACAAUAAAUUCCAGCAGCCAUAAAUUUGGAGCUGGGUUAAGUACUGAAAACAAUUUAUUGCUAAUUUUUCCUUUAAUUGCAUUCCCAAGAAGAAGGGUUUGGUGCUUACUGGUGGCAUUAUUAUAUAAAAAUUAUUCGUUAGAAAGCACAGUGAACAGUAAAUCAGAAGCUUACCUGAAACAGGGUCAGGGUUCCUCACAAUUCAUCCUCACCCUCACCCAGCCUGUCUCCAGCGAGGUCUUCAGGAAAGAAAAGGAUCAGGGAAAAUGCUCCCGCUGUCCCCUCGCCCCUCCUCUGUGACACUGUGCGCAGAUUAGGUGUUGAUUCAAUAAGAUGCUUCACCUUCUAAAAGUGAUAGUGUGAAUCACGUGUGGAAGCAGAGGGGACAUAAUGGAACAUCACUGCACGGCAUCCCUGCCUCAUUUAAUUUGUUUUGAGGCUGCUAGCCGUGUCAGGCUAACUGCACUUGAGGCCAGUCAACAGCCUGACUCUGUUGGUGGAGAAAGUUGAAAGACAGUGGCAUGGUGUCAGAAGCUGCUGGGAUGAAGUCAACAUCCGUUCCCGUCUCCCCUUGGGAAAGCCGUGUUCCAGGGCAAAGAGAGAGUGAUGGAUUUGCCAUUCCAAACCAGCCGUAGGUGGAGCCUGUGCCCAUCGGAGAGCUCCUGGAGGUUGAAACUGCAAUUCUGACGGCCAUUUGGGGAAGAGCCAAUGGGUGCCAAGUGUUUAUGACGUGACAAGUACAUCUGCAUCACGGAUGGUGAGAGUCUUGCUCUGUCUCCCAGGUUGGAGUGCAGUGGCAUGAUCUCAGCUCACUGCAACUUCCACCUCCUGGGUUCAAGUGGUUCUCCUGCCUUGACCUCCCAAGUCGCUGGGAUUACAGGUGCCUGCCACCACACCUGGCUAAUUUUUGUAUUUUUAAUAGAGAUGAGGUUUCACCAUGUUGGCCAGGCUGGUCUUGAACUCUCGACCUCAGGCCAGCCAAGGCAGAGGCUCACAGAUGGAACUGCAGGCCACAGCAUCACCCCAUCUCUCAAUCUUAUGACAGCUGACUAUCAAGAAAUUUCUGUAAAAAGAAAUCAUUA